UGAUCAAUUUGGAUAUGUCCAUUGAUUAGAGGAUUUUUUGUUUUCAUAUGGGGCUUCUCUUGGAUGUAUUUUGGGGUGUCUAAUUAUGGGUGCAAGGGCUCCAAUUGUUGACACCUAAUAGGCUUCCUAAUGUAAGUUGGAUAACUUAAGUUAAUAGGAAUCUUAAUGCAAGUAGGACUUGUAUUAUGAGAUUGAAUAGGAUUCAAUCCUUAUGCCUAUUUAAAGGAAUCUCCCCUAAGGUCUCUAGAGCAUCAAAAUUAGCAGUCCUUCACAACCAAAGGCUCUCCCCACUCCCUCUCUUCCUCUCUCUUUCUCUUCUCUUGGGUGUUCUAUACACCCCUUUCUGGGGACGUGCAUCCCAAGGAGUUUCAUGUCCAAAAGAGUUUGGGUGCCUUUUUCUUACUAGUUUCUAGCAUCUGGUAGCAGUAUAUAGCAAGGAGAAACUCUAGAGAAGAGGAAAAAAAGAAGAUCAAGGAGAAAGGUCAAGUUUUGAUCGUGAUCCAAGCUUCGUUCAGAUUCAGCAGACUGAAUUUUAGAGAAUCAAAAUUCAGAUUAUAGAUGGUUAUUCCAGGCUGAUCCUGAGUAGAUACUCGUAGAGGUCGGAUACUUGUGCGGUUAAGAGAGAGUCUCAUCUCUUUCAAAUCCAAUUUUGAAGAAAG
rnacentral:lncRNA from 1 species